rnacentral:rRNA from 1 species
GAUGAACGCUAGCGGCAGGCUUAACACAUGCAAGUCGAGGGGUAUAGUUCUUCGGAAUUAGAGACCGGCGCACGGGUGCGUAACGCGUAUGCAAUCUACCUUUCACAGAGGGAUAGCCCCAGAGAAAUUUGGAUUAAUACCUCAUAGUAUAGCAGUUUCGCAUGAAACCACUAUUAAAGUCACAACGGUGAAAGAUGAGCAUGCGUCCCAUUAGCUAGUUGGUAAGGUAACGGCUUACCAAGGCAACGAUGGGUAGGGGUCCUGAGAGGGAGAUCCCCCACACUGGUACUGAGACACGGACCAGACUCCUACGGGAGGCAGCAGUGAGGAAUAUUGGACAAUGGCGCAAGCCUGAUCCAGCCAUGCCGCGUGCAGGAUGACGGUCCUAUGGAUUGUAAACUGCUUUUUANACGGGAAGAAACCCUCCCACGUGUGGGAGCUUGACGGUACUGUAGGAAUAAGGAUCGGCUAACUCCGUGCCAGCAGCCGACGG